GACGAACGCUGGCGGCGUGCCUAACACAUGCGAGUCGAACGGCAAGGUCCUGCUUUUGUGGGGUGCUCGAGUGGCGAACGGGUGAGUGACACGUGUGUAUCCUGCUCUUGUCUUUGGGAUAACUUCAGGAAACUGGGGUUAAUCUCGGACCGGAUCUCCUGCUGCAUGGUGGGGGUUGGAAAGUUUCGGCGGUCGGGGUUGGAUGCGCGGCUUAUGAGCUUGUUGGUGGGGUAGUGGCAUACCCAGGAGUGGACGGGUAGCCGGCCUGUGAGGGUGGACGGGGACAAGAGGACUGAGAGACGGCGCAGACGCGAACGGUAGGCAGCAGUGGGGAAUAUGGCACAGCGGGCGGAAGCCUGAGGCAGAGACGCCGCGUGCGGGAUGACGGCCUGCGGGGUGAGAACCGCUGUCGCCUAAGACGAAGCGUGAGUGACGGUAAUGAAUAAAGAAGCACCGGCUAACUACGUG
rnacentral:rRNA from 1 species